rnacentral:rRNA from 1 species
GAUGAACGCUAGCGGGAGGCCUAACACAUGCAAGCCGAGCGGUAUUUGUUCUUCGGAACAGAGAGAGCGGCGCACGGGUGCGGAACACGUGUGCAACCUGCCUUUAUCUGGGGGAUAGCCUUUCGAAAGGAAGAUUAAUACCCCAUAAUAUAUUGAGUGGCAUCAUUUGAUAUUGAAAACUCCGGCGGAUAGAGAUGGGCACGCGCAAGAUUAGAUAGUUGGUGAGGUAACGGCUCACCAAGUCAAUGAUCUUUAGGGGGCCUGAGAGGGUGAUCCCCCACACUGGUACUGAGACACGGACCAGACUCCUACGGGCGGCAGCAGUGAGGAAUAUUGGACAAUGGGUUAGCGCCUGAUCCCGCCAUCCCGCGUGAAGGACGACGGCCCUAUGGGUUGUAAACUUCUUUUGUAUAGGGAUAAACCUACUCUCGUGAGAGUAGCUGAAGGUACUAUACGAAUAAGCACCGGCUAACUCCGUG